ensembl:miRNA
UUGGGCUUGCCAAAAAGUUUGUUUGGGGUUUUCUGUGCCAUCUUAAAAACCCAAAGGAACUUUCUGGCCAACCCAAU